rnacentral:rRNA from 1 species
CGCAGGGAAACCGAGUCUUAAUUGGGCGUUAAGUUGCAGGGUAUAGACCCGAAACCCGGUGAUCUAGCCAUGGGCAGGUUGAAGGUUGGGUAACACUAACUGGAGGACCGAACCGACUAAUGUUGAAAAAUUAGCGGAUGACCUGUGGCUGGGGGUGAAAGGCCAAUCAAACCGGGAGAUAGCUGGUUCUCCCCGAAAGCUAUUUAGGUAGCGCCUCGUGAAUUCAUCUCCGGGGGUAGAGCACUGUUUCGGCUAGGGGGCCAUCCCGGCUUACCAACCCGAUGCAAACUGCGAAUACCGGAGAAUGUUAUCACGGGAGACACACGGCGGGUGCUAACGUCCGUCGUGAAGAGGGAAACAACCCAGACCGCCAGCUAAGGUCCCAAAGUCAUGGUUAAGUGGGAAACGAUGUGGGAAGGCCCAGACAGCCAGGAUGUUGGCUUAGAAGCAGCCAUCAUUUAAAGAAAGCGUAAUAGCUCACUGGUCGAGUCGGCCUGCGCGGAAGAUGUAACGGGGCUAAACCAUGCACCGAAGCUGCGGCAGCGAACGUAUCACUUAAAGCGAUUCAGCGGGUUACGAUUGACGGAGCGAAGCGACGUCAAAGCGUAUAUAAAGUCGAGUCGGUUUAAGGAUACGUUCGUUGGGUAGGGGAGCGUUCUGUAAGCCUGUGAAGGUGGCCUGUGAGGGUUGCUGGAGGUAUCAGAAGUGCGAAUGCUGACAUAAGUAACGAUAAAGCGGGUGAAAAGCCCGCUCGCCGGAAGACCAAGGGUUCCUGUCCAACGUUAAUCGGGGCAGGGUGAGUCGACCCCUAAGGCGAGGCCGAAAGGCGUAGUCGAUGGGAAACGGGUUAAUAUUCCCGUACUUGGUGUUACUGCGAAGGGGGGACGGAGAAGGCUAUGUUGGCCGGGCGACGGUUGUCCCGGUUUAAGCGUGUAGGUGUGUGUUCCAGGUAAAUCCGGUUCACUUUAACACUGAGGCGUGAUGACGAGGCACUACGGUGCUGAAGCAACAAAUGCCCUGCUUCCAGGAAAAGCCUCUAAGCAUCAGGUAACAUCAAAUCGUACCCCAAACCGACACAGGUGGUCAGGUAGAGAAUACCAAGGCGCUUGAGAGAACUCGGGUGAAGGAACUAGGCAAAAUGGUGCCGUAACUUCGGGAGAAGGCACGCUGACACGUAGGUGAAGUGAUUUACUCAUGGAGCUGAAGUCAGUCGAAGAUACCAGCUGGCUGCAACUGUUUAUUAAAAACACAGCACUGUGCAAACACGAAAGUGGACGUAUACGGUGUGACGCCUGCCCGGUGCCGGAAGGUUAAUUGAUGGGGUCAGCGCAAGCGAAGCUCCUGAUCGAAGCCCCGGUAAACGGCGGCCGUAACUAUAACGGUCCUAAGGUAGCGAAAUUCCUUGUCGGGUAAGUUCCGACCUGCACGAAUGGCGUAAUGAUGGCCAGGCUGUCUCCACCCGAGACUCAGUGAAAUUGAACUCGCUGUGAAGAUGCAGUGUACCCGCGGCAAGACGGAAAGACCCCGUGAACCUUUACUAUAGCUUGACACUGAACAUUGAGCCUUGAUGUGUAGGAUAGGUGGGAGGCUUUGAAGUGUGGACGCCAGUCUGCAUGGAGCCGACCUUGAAAUACCACCCUUUAAUGUUUGAUGUUCUAACGUGGACCCGUAAUCCGGGUUGCGGACAGUGUCUGGUGGGUAGUUUGACUGGGGCGGUCUCCUCCUAAAGAGUAACGGAGGAGCACGAAGGUUGGCUAAUCCUGGUCGGACAUCAGGAGGUUAGUGCAAUGGCAUAAGCCAGCUUGACUGCGAGCGUGACGGCGCGAGCAGGUGCGAAAGCAGGUCAUAGUGAUCCGGUGGUUCUGAAUGGAAGGGCCAUCGCUCAACGGAUAAAAGGUACUCCGGGGAUAACAGGCUGAUACCGCCCAAGAGUUCAUAUCGACGGCGGUGUUUGGCACCUCGAUGUCGGCUCAUCACAUCCUGGGGCUGAAGUAGGUCCCAAGGGUAUGGCUGUUCGCCAUUUAAAGUGGUACGCGAGCUGGGUUUAGAACGUCGUGAGACAGUUCGGUCCCUAUCUGCCGUGGGCGCUGGAGAACUGAGGGGGGCUGCUCCUAGUACGAGAGGACCGGAGUGGACGCAUCACUGGUGUUCGGGUUGUCAUGCCAAUGGCACUGCCCGGUAGCUAAAUGCGGAAGAGAUAAGUGCUGAAAGCAUCUAAGCACGAAACUUGCCCCGA